rnacentral:siRNA from 1 species
AGGAAUUGUGUGUAUAAUGCAUUG